rnacentral:rRNA from 1 species
GAUGAACGCUGGCGGCGUGCCUAAUACAUGCAAGUCGAACGGAAAGGCCUCUUCGGAGGUACUCGAGUGGCGGACGGCUGAGUAACGCGUAGGAACGUACCCCAAACUGAGGGAUAACUGCUCGAAAGAGGAGCUAAUACCGCAUGUGCUCUACGGAGUAAAGCUUCGGCGGUUUGGGAACGGCCUGCGUAUGAGUAGCUAGUUGGUGAGGUAAUGGCUCACCAAGGCGACGAUCAUUAGCUGGUCUGAGAGGAUGAUCAGCCAGACUGGGACUGAGACACGGCCCAGACUCCUACGGGAGGCAGCAGUAGGGAAUUUUCCACAAUGGGGGCAACCCUGAUGGAGCAACGCCGCGUGCAGGAUGAAGGCUUUCGGGUCGUAAACUGCUUUUAUAUGUGACGAUUUUGACGGUAGCAUAUGAAUAAGGAUCGGCUAACUCCGUGCCAGCCGCCGCAGUAA